rnacentral:rRNA from 1 species
GCUUCAUGCUCUGAUGCGUCGUGACAGUACCAUGCUGAGAGAGGAGCUUGCUCUUCUUGGAUGAGUUGCGAACGGGUGAGUAACGCGUAGGUAACCUGCCUUGUAGCGGGGGAUAACUAUUGGAAACGAUAGCUAAUACCGCAUAACAAUGGAUGACACAUGUCAUUUAUUUGAAAGGGGCAAUUGCUCCACUACAAGAUGGACCUGCGUUGUAUUAGCUAGUAGGUGAGGUAAUGGCUCACCUAGGCGACGAUACAUAGCCGACCUGAGAGGGUGAUCGGCCACACUGGGACUGAGACACGGCCCAGACUCCUACGGGAGGCAGCAGUAGGGAAUCUUCGGCAAUGGGGGCAACCCUGACCGAGCAACGCCGCGUGAGUGAAGAAGGUUUUCGGAUCGUAAAGCUCUGUUGUAAGUCAAGAACGGGUGUGAGAGUGGAAAGUUCACACUGUGACGGUAGCUUACCAGAAAGGGACGGCUAACUACGUGCCAGCAGCCGCGGUAAUACGUAGGUCCCGAGCGUUGUCCGGAUUUAUUGGGCGUAAAGCGAGCGCAGGCGGUUUGAUAAGUCUGAAGUUAAAGGCUGUGGCUCAACCAUAGUUCGCUUUGGAAACUGUCAAACUUGAGUGCAGAAGGGGAGAGUGGAAUUCCAUGUGUAGCGGUGAAAUGCGUAGAUAUAUGGAGGAACACCGGUGGCGAAAGCGGCUCUCUGGUCUGUAACUGACGCUGAGGCUCGAAAGCGUGGGGAGCGAACAGGAUUAGAUACCCUGGUAGUCCACGCCGUAAACGAUGAGUGCUAGGUGUUGGAUCCUUUCCGGGAUUCAGUGCCGCAGCUAACGCAUUAAGCACUCCGCCUGGGGAGUACGACCGCAAGGUUGAAACUCAAAGGAAUUGACGGGGGCCCGCACAAGCGGUGGAGCAUGUGGUUUAAUUCGAAGCAACGCGAAGAACCUUACCAGGUCUUGACAUCCCGAUGCUAUUUCUAGAGAUAGAAAGUUACUUCGGUACAUCGGUGACAGGUGGUGCAUGGUUGUCGUCAGCUCGUGUCGUGAGAUGUUGGGUUAAGUCCCGCAACGAGCGCAACCCCUAUUGUUAGUUGCCAUCAUUCAGUUGGGCACUCUAGCGAGACUGCCGGUAAUAAACCGGAGGAAGGUGGGGAUGACGUCAAAUCAUCAUGCCCCUUAUGACCUGGGCUACACACGUGCUACAAUGGUUGGUACAACGAGUUGCGAGUCGGUGACGGCGAGCUAAUCUCUUAAAGCCAAUCUCAGUUCGGAUUGUAGGCUGCAACUCGCCUACAUGAAGUCGGAAUCGCUAGUAAUCGCGGAUCAGCACGCCGCGGUGAAUACGUUCCCGGGCCUUGUACACACCGCCCGUCACACCACGAGAGUUUGUAACACCCGAAGUCGGUGAGGUAACCUUUUGGAGCCAGCCGCCUAAGGUGGGACAGAUGAUGAGGGAAGUCGCACUAGCACAAUC